rnacentral:rRNA from 1 species
CUAACAAGGAUUCCCCUAGUAGCGGCGAGCGAAGCGGGAAGAGCUCAAAUUUAUAAUCUGGCGCUUUCGGCGUCCGAGUUGUAAUCUCUAGAAGUGUUUUCCGCGUUGGACCGCACAUAAGUCUGUUGGAAUACAGCGGCACAGUGGUGAGACCCCCGUUCACGGUGCGGAUGCCCAAUGCUUUGUGAUACACUUUCGAAGAGUCGAGUUGUUUGGGAAUGCAGCUCAAAUUGGGUGGUAAAUUCCAUCUAAAGCUAAAUAUUGGCGAGAGACCGAUAGCGAACAAGUACCGUGAGGGAAAGAUGAAAAGCACUUUGGAAAGAGAGUUAACAGUACGUGAAAUUGUUGGAAGGGAAACGCUUGAAGUCAGACUUGCUAUUCGGGGCUUGCUCCGAGUUGCAGGCCAGCAUCAGUUUUUCGGGGCGGAAAAUCACGGAUUGAAGGUAGCAGUUUCGGCUGUGUUAUAGCUUUCCGUUGGAUACGUCCUGGGGGACUGAGGAACGCAGUGUGCUUUUAGCGAGGGCUUCGGCUCUUUCACACUUAGGAUGCUGGUGGAAUGGCUUUAAACGA